UUUUUUUUUUUAGUAUCAUAGUGAUUCAGACACUGAGCUUUAUCUUAAUCUCCUCUGUCGAGUUUCAUAGCUUGCAACAGUUCCCUUAUUAAGCAGUUUGUUAUGGAAGUUUUUGUGGGUGGGAAUUAUCAACUUCAUACAGUUUUAAGAUGCAUCUUGUUCACUUAUGCAAACAUUGUUUCACUAUGCUGGCCAUUAUUUCAACAACUUAAACUUGAUUAUUUAUUAUCUCUGUGAUAGGAACUCAAAACAUAAGUUGCUUGAUGUCCAAUUACUUAUUCAACCUGAUGUCAAAAUGAACUCUUUCUCUAUGAAUUGACAAAGUUUGCUUACACUAUAGAAUAAUUUCCUCACUGUUUAUUCAGUUUGAAACCUCUUGGAAGCUUAAGUAUAUUUAUGCAUUUAAAAACUAAAUUAAUAAAUUUCUCUGUAGCACAGAGAAGGCUCCCAAUCCAUACAUCUUUUCCAACCUCAGAUUGUGCUGGCAUGCCACAGUCUUCUUUUUGUUAUAAAUGCACCCCUUACUGUCAUACGUGUGGAGAUACUUGAGCAAUGCAUAUGGGUCCGCUGUGUCAGGGAAUCUCGGCUUCCCCUGCCUACCCACUUCACUCUUUGGUCAUGUGGUUUCAAACAAGAAAAUGUUUUCCUUUUACCCAAAUUCUUCACUGAAGCAGUGAUUUUGGCUGGAAGAUGAAAGGAGAAGUGCAUCAGACUGCUGGCUAGCGAGUUGUGUACAAACCUGUACAGUGUUGCAUGAGUCUAAAGGUGCUGCUUAUGAAAUUAAGAUUACUGGUUUAAUGUGUUACUGAAUUGGAACUUGUUUUCAGAACUGCCAGUCUCCAGAAGCUUGGCACUGCAAGAGGCUAUGAUUGUUCGUGCGAUAUAAGGAAGAAAAAUCACUGAAUUGAUAGGGCUGAGGUGCCCUACCCUGUAUUUAUAGCUAUCUGGAUUUAGCUUCUUGACUUAAUACAUUCAGUCUCAGUUUAUAUAUAUAAAAAACAGAUCAUAUGAGACUGAACAUGGUAAGCAUGUGUGUAUGUACAUACAGUACUUAUGUGUGUAUGUACAUACACAUAUAUAUGCUUAAAUGUUUUAGUAUAUAUAGGUGUAAACACACUUGUGGGGAACUUCAAAUAAAUAAGACUGUUAACUGAUUUUUCCCAGCCUGUUCGUUUGAGUAUGCCAGGAUUUCCUUAACUGGCAUCAGAAAGAAAAUCUAUUUUUCAGAAUGGGGUAUACAAGAAUUCUUGUUAACUGAAUGACAAACAAAUAUGAGCUAUCAGGGAAAUUAAAUUGACUUUGAAAUAGUGGAAGAGGAACUGGUGGCUGGAUGUUCUCUGCAUUACUCUUGCAGUAUGCCCGAGGCAGGCAGACGAUGCAUUCCAAAAAUCAGGGUAGUCUAGUUUGUUUGUUGGUUUUUGUUUUAUUUCUUUUUUUUUUUCUCUGCACCAAAAGCAGGAUCUGCUUCGAGUUUUACUGAUCUUUUUGUGCAACAAAAUCAAUUUUCAAUUAAUUUCAGAUUUUUGUUGGGUUUUUUACGCGUCAGGCAAUAUUGAGCUGCUUACAGAUUGUUUCUGUCCUGUCUACAGUGUCAGAUAAUUACACUGCUGGUUGAUUAGGAGAGGAAAUAAAAAGAGAGAGGAGAAGGUUGAUCUGUAGGAUUAUAGUGUUCCUAGUGCCCUUCUGAUCUGUGGUUAUAGUGAAACAUGUAAUUUGUCAUUUUAAAGUGCAAUGAUGAGGUAAACACGUUGGCUUGGUUCUGUGCGUUUGAUUAAAAGAAAAAGUUAUAAUUUGUCCUGCCUCUCAGUGAAGCUGCCCACCAUAGUUGAGAUCUGCAUGAAACUCUCCCCAAAACACAGGAAAGGUAGAAAAUUGCCAUGUAAGGCUCCACCCCUGAUUAGGUGACCCAGGAAUAGGAAUUUCCUAGAGAAUGCAACUUCAAGAUCACAAGGUCAUUAAAUACUUGUCUUUCAUCGACUGAUAAGAUUGUUUUUCUUCACCUGGUUGACUCCUUUGGGGUUUUCUCCAAAAUCUUUAUUUAAAGUAUUUAAAUGACCUCCUAAUCCUGUACUGAAAAUUAAAAAAAAAAAAUAAAUACAUUCCAUGUUGAAAUCUCA
ensembl:lncRNA